UACGUAGGGUGCAGGCGUUAAUCGGAAUUACUGGGCGUAAAGCGUGCGCAGGCGGUCUUUUAAGUCAGAUGUGAAAUCCCCGGGCUUAACCUGGGAACUGCGUUUGAAACUGGAAGGCUAGAGUGUGGCAGAGGGGGGUGGAAUUCCACGUGGUAGCAGUGAAAUGCGUAGAUAAUGUGGAGGAACACCGAUGGCGAAGGCAGCCCCCUGGGCUAACACUGACGCUCAUGCACGAAAGCGUGGGGAGCAAACAGG
rnacentral:rRNA from 1 species